rnacentral:rRNA from 1 species
AUUGUGCCAGCGGCCGCGGUAAUACGAAGGGUGCAAGCGUUGUUCGGAUUUAUUGGGCGUAAAGCGCGCGCAGGCGGAAAAGCAAGUCAGAUGUGAAAUCUCGGGGCUUAACCCCGAACGUGCGUCUGAAACUACUUUUCUAGAGUAAUGGAGGGGGAAGGGGAAUUUCACAUGUAGGGGUAAAAUCCGUAGAGAUGUGAAGGAACACCAGAGGCGAAGGCGCCUUCCUGGCCAUUUACUGACGCUGAGGCGCGAAAGCGUGGGGAUCAAACAGGAUUAGAUACCCUGGUAGUCCACGCCGUAAACGAUGAGAACUGGUUUUUGUGGGUAUUGACUCCCUCAGAAACGAAGCUAACGCGUUAAGUUCUCCGCCUGGGGAGUACGGUCGCAAGACUAAAACUCAAAGAAAUUGACGGGGGCCCGCACAAGCGGUGGAUUAUGUGGUUUAAUUCGAAGCAACGCGCAGAACCUUACCUAGGCUUGAAAUCCUGCGAAUUCGACGUAAUGGUUGAAGUGCCCUUCGGGGAGCGCAGAGACAGGUGCUGCAUGGCUGUCGUCAGCUCGUGUUGUGAAAUGUUGGGUUAAGUCUCGCAACGAGCGCAACCCCUAUCUUUAGUUGCCAGCAUUAAGUUGGGCACUCUAGAGAGACUGCCUGGGUUAACCAGGAGGAAGGUGGGGAUGACGUCAAGUCCUCAUGGCCCUUAUGUCUAGGGCUACACACGUAAUACAAUGGUGCGAACAAAGGGAAGCGAACUCGCGAGGGGGAGCAAAUCUCAAAAAACGUAUCUCAGUCCGGAUUGAAGUCUGCAACUCGACUUCAUGAAGUUGGAAUCGCUAGUAAUCGCGGAUCAGAACGCCGCGGUGAAUACGUUCCCGGGCCUUGUACACGCCGCCCGUCACACCAUGGAAGUUAGUUCAAUCUUAAGACGUGACUCUAACCGCAAGGGGGAGAGCGUCUACGGUGGGACUGAUGACUGGGGUGAAGUCGUAACAAGGUAACCAAU